UACGAAGGGUGCAAGCGUUGCUCGGAAUAUUGGGCGUAAAGGGUUGGUAGGUGGUCUUGUUUGUCUAAGGUGAAAUCCCAUGGCUUAACUGUGGAAGUGCCUUAGAAACGGCAAGACUAGAGUCCUAGAGGGGUUUGUGGAAUUCCCGGUGUAACGGUGAAAUGCGUAGAGAUCGGGAGGAACACCAGCGGCGAAGGCGGCAAACUGGAUAGGCACUGACGCUGAGACGCGAAAGCGUGGGGAGCGAACAGG
rnacentral:rRNA from 1 species